ACGGGGGGAGCAAGCGUUGUUCGGAUUUACUGGGCGUAAAGCGUGCGCAGGCGGUUGUGCAAGACAGAUGUGAAAUCCCCGGGCUUAACCUGGGAAUUGCAUUUGUGACUGCACGGCUAGAGUGUGUCAGAGGGAGGUAGAAUUCCACGUGUAGCAGUGAAAUGCGUAGAUAUGUGGAGGAAUACCGAUGGCGAAGGCAGCCUCCUGGGAUAACACUGACGCUCAUGCACGAAAGCGUGGGGAGCAAACAGGA
rnacentral:rRNA from 1 species